rnacentral:rRNA from 1 species
GACAGAGGGUGCAAACGUUGCUCGGAAUUACUGGGCGUAAAGCGCACGUAGGCGGAUCUUUAAGUCAGGGGUGAAAUCCUGGAGCUCAACUCCAGAACUGCCUUUGAUACUGGGGAUCUCGAGUCCGGGAGAGGUGAGUGGAACUGCGAGUGUAGAGGUGAAAUUCGUAGAUAUUCGCAAGAACACCAGUGGCGAAGGCGGCUCACUGGCCCGGUACUGACGCUGAGGUGCGAAAGCGUGGGGAGCAAACAGG